GACGAACGCUGGCGGCGUGCCUAAUACAUGCAAGUCGAGCGGAUGGAAGGAAGCUUGCUUCCUAAAGUCAGCGGCGGACGGGUGAGUAACACGUGGGCAACCUGCCCCUAAGAUCGGGGUAACUUCGGGAAACCGGAGCUAAUACCGGAUAUGAUUAUGUCUCACAUGAGACAUAAUGGAAAGACGGUUUCGGCUGUCACUUAGGGAUGGGCCCGCGGCGCAUUAGCUAGUUGGUGAGGUAACGGCUCACCAAGGCGACGAUGCGUAGCCGACCUGAGAGGGUGAUCGGCCACACUGGGACUGAGACACGGCCCAGACUCCUACGGGAGGCAGCAGUAGGGAAUCUUCCGCAAUGGACGAAAGUCUGACGGAGCAACGCCGCGUGAGUGAAGAAGGUUUUCGGAUCGUAAUACUCUGUUGUUAGGGAAGAACAAGUACCAUAGUAACUGAUGGUACCUUGACGGUACCUAACCAGAAAGCCACGGCUAACUACGUGCCAGCCGCCGCCGUAACAC
rnacentral:rRNA from 1 species